UACGUAGGUGGCAAGCGUUGUCCGGAUUUACUGGGCGUAAAGAGCGCGCAGGCGGUUGUGCAAGUCGGGUGUGAAAGCCCCCGGCUCAACUGGGGAGGGUCACGCGAUACUGCUCAACUCGAAGGCAGGAGAGGGAAGUGGAAUUCCCGGUGUAGUGGUGAAAUGCGUAGAUAUCGGGAGGAACACCAGUGGCGAAGGCGACUUCCUGGCCUGUUCUUGACGCUGAGGCGCGAAAGCUAGGGUAGCAAACGGG
rnacentral:rRNA from 1 species